rnacentral:rRNA from 1 species
ACCAAGGUGAGGCCCUAUGGGUUUCGCCAUUGGAAUGAGAACAAUAUAAAUCUUUUAACGAGUAACAAGUGGAGGGCAAGUCUGGUGCCAGCAGCCGCGGUAAUUCCAGCUCCACAAGUGUAUUCCUAUAUUGCUGCGGUUAAAAAGCUCGUAGUUGGAUCAGAGUGCUUAGCGGGUGGUACAGUGUUUCACUGUCACUGCUUCGCGGCACAUAACCGUCGACUGGCUGCUGUUGUUGCCUUCACCGGUGACGGCAGUUAGCUAUCGACAUGUUUACUUUGAACAAAUCAGAGUGCUCAAAACAGGCGUUUCGCUUGUAUGUUUUUGCAUGGAAUAAUAGAAUAGGACCUUGGGUCUAUUUUGUUGGUUUUCGGAAUCAAGGUAAUGAUUAAGAGGGACAGACGGGGGCAUUCGUACUGCAACGGGAGAGGUGAAAUUCUUGGAUCGUUGCAAGACGAACUACUGCGAAAGCAUUUGCCAAGAAUGUUUUCAUUAAUCAAGAACGAAAGUAACGGGUUCGAAGGCGAUCAGAUACCGCCCUAGUCGUUACCGUAAACGAUUGUAACCGGGAGCUAGCAGGCGCUUUACUAUGGCUCUGCUAGAACCCACCCGGAAACGAAGAGUUUUCGAUAUCCGGGGGAAGUAUACUUGCAAAUGUGAAACUUAAAGGAAUUGACGGAAGGGCACCACCAGGGGUGGAGCCUGCGGCUUAAUUUGACCCAACACGGGGAAACUCAUCCGGUCCGGACACCGUAAGGAUUGACAGAUUGAGAGCUCUUUCUUGAUUUGGUGGGCAGUGGUGCAUGGCCGUUCUUAGUUGGUGGAGUGAUUUGUCUGGUUUAUUCCGAUAACGAUCGAGACUCUAGCCUACUAACUAGUUAUGCGAUCUUCUUGUCGUAUUAACUUCUUAGAGGGACAAGCGGUGCUCAGCCGCAUGAAAAAGAGCAAUAACAGGUCUGUGAUGCCCUUCGAUGUUCGGAGCUGCACGCGCGCUACACUGUAGAAUGCAGCGUGCUAGCUUGCCUCGCUCGCAAGAGUGGGGUAGUCGGUUGAAAUUUCUACGUGAUUGGGAUAGGGACUUGUAAUUAUUUCCCUUGAACGAGGAAUCCCUAGUAAGUGCAGGUCAUCAGCUUGUGCUGAUUACGUCCCUGCCCUUUGUACACACCGCCCGUCGCUGCCCGGAACUGAGCCAUUUCGAGAAAAAUGGGGACUGAUUGCUUGUGAGCACGCAAGUGCUUCUUGCAGUCGGAAACCAUCU